AUAGUGCAGCAGACCCACCUGAACCCAUGCCGAACUCAGAAGUGAAAUGUUGUAACGCCGAUGGUAGUGUGGGGUUUCCCCAUGUGAGAGUAGG
rnacentral:rRNA from 2 species